UGGGGAAUUUUGGACAAUGGGCGCAAGCCUGAUCCAGCCAUGCCGCGUGCGGGAAGAAGGCCUUCGGGUUGUAAACCGCUUUUGUCAGGGAAGAAAUCUUCUGAGUUAAUACCUCGGGAGGAUGACGGUACCUGAAGAAUAAGCACCGGCUAACUACGUGCCAGCAGCCGCGGUAAUACGUAGGGUGCAAGCGUUAAUCGGAAUUACUGGGCGUAAAGCGUGCGCAGGCGGUUUUGUAAGACAGAGGUGAAAUCCCCGGGCUCAACCUGGGAACUGCCUUUGUGACUGCAAGGCUUGAGUGCGGCAGAGGGGGAUGGAAUUCCGCGUGUAGCAGUGAAAUGCGUAGAUAUGCGGAGGAACACCGAUGGCGAAGGCAAUCCCCUGGGCCUGCACUGACGCUCAUGCACGAAAGCUUGGGGAGCAAACAGGAUUAGAUAGCCCUGGUAGUCCACGCCCUAAAACGAUGUCAACUGGUUGUUGGGAAGGUUCCUUCUCAGUAACGUAGCUAACGCGUGAAGUUGA
rnacentral:rRNA from 1 species